UAGGUUUCCCGUAGGUGAACCUGCGGAAGGAUCAUUA
rnacentral:rRNA from 1 species